rnacentral:lncRNA from 1 species
UUCUUUUCAAUUGAUUUCUGAUUUAUUUUGUUGUACUUCUUAGAUGCCAUUUAAUUCCUCCUGCGACGCACCACCACAAUGGUCUUGAUGCACUUCUUGGGGUUCUUGCACUUCACUUGCUUGCGGGUGUUGCACCAAUUGUUUCCCCUCCAGCAUCUCCUUGUUGUUUUCUUGGUAGUUGCAGUGGUCACUGAUGCUGCUGUCGUCGUUGUUGUAGCUGCAGAUGCAACGGUUGUUGCUGCCUCCG